rnacentral:rRNA from 1 species
CAGCCGCCGCGGUAAAACAGAGGGUGCGAGCGUUAAUCGGAUUUACUGGGCGUAAAGCGUGCGUAGGCGGCUUCUUAAGUCGGAUGUGAAAUCCCUGAGCUUAACUUAGGAAUUGCAUUCGAUACUGGGAAGCUAGAGUAUGGGAGAGGAUGGUAGAAUUCCAGGUGUAGCGGUGAAAUGCGUAGAGAUCUGGAGGAAUACCGAUGGCGAAGGCAGCCAUCUGGCCUAAUACUGACGCUGAGGUACGAAAGCAUGGGGAGCAAACAGGAUUAGAGACCCCAGUAGUCCCUGUCUCUUAUAC